UACGUAGGGUGCGAGCGUUAAUCGGAAUUACUGGGCGUAAAGCGUGCGCAGGCGGUUUGUUAAGCCAGAUGUGAAAGCCCCGGGCUCAACCUGGGAACUGCGUUUGGUACUGGCAAGCUAGAGUACGGCAGAGGGGGGUGGAAUUCCACGUGUAGCAGUGAAAUGCGUAGAGAUGUGGAGGAAUACCGAUGGCGAAGGCAGCCCCCUGGGAUAACACUGACGCUCAUGCACGAAAGCGUGGGGAGCAAACAGG
rnacentral:rRNA from 1 species